rnacentral:tRNA from 1 species
GGGCUCGUAGCUCAGCUAGGUAGAGCAGCAGGCUCUUAACCUGUUGGUCGGGGGUUCGAAUCCCCCCGAGCCCG